rfam:Salipiger mucosus DSM 16094 genomic scaffold scaffold7, whole genome shotgun sequence.
GCGGUCGUGGCGGAAUUGGUAGACGCGCAGCGUUGAGGUCGCUGUGGGGUAACUCCCGUGGAAGUUCGAGUCUUCUCGACCGCA